GUGACAAGAAGUAAAACUACUAGCUUGAAAAUGUCAGUCAGUCCAUGAGGUGUUUUGCGGUUAGAUCUGAAACCAUCCUCUCAUUUCCAGCCCUUUGAGUGGCAAUAUGAUUUCACACUUUUUUGCAUUAAAUCCUGGUCAAAGACAACACCUGCCUGUUCCUUGGAGGAAGUGAUGCAAGAGAGAGUUUAGCUGGCUGUGAAUCUCAAUUAGGACAAGGGGUCACGUUGAGUGUAACAGUACAAGGUUUACCUCCUCUUCUGGUAAAAAAACAAGGACAAAACUCGACUAGUGUGGGUGAGAUUUUGUGGGACUGCGACAGGGUAAAGGACG